AUUUAGAAUCAACUGCUGUAUUUGAAAAAUAAUAUAGAGGAAACUCCACGCUUGCACAUCCUGAGAUGGAUGUAGUGAUUGUGCUAGAGAAAAAAAUAACUCUAGAUACCUUUAAAGGUAAUGACAUAAACAAGUCUAAGGAAUUUAUAUUCUAUGAUAAGUUUUCUAAAGUGCCACAGGGACGAAUAGCUAGAAAUAGUGAAAUGGAACGGGUAAACUCCGCAAGCAAGAAACUCAAAUUUUGGUAGAGGAAUUAAAAACUAAGAAAUGAAUUAGUUUUUGAAUCACAUAUGUGAUAGAUAGAUAGUUGAUGCACGAAAGUGUUACAGAACGUGGGUUAUGAAG
rnacentral:RNase_P_RNA from 1 species